rnacentral:rRNA from 1 species
AAACUGCGAAUGGCUCAUUAAAACAGUUAUAGUUUAUUUGAUGGUCUCUCUUACAUGGAUAACCAUGGUAAUUCUAUGGCUAAUACAUGCGCAAUCGCCUCCUUCUCUGGAGGGGCUGUGUUUAUUAGAUACAAAACCAACCCACUUUGUGGAGUCUUGGUGAUUCAUAGUAACCGAACGGAUCGCACUUGGCUUCGGCCCGCGAUGGAUCAUUCAAGUUUCUGACCUAUCAGCUUUCGACGGUAGG